rnacentral:rRNA from 1 species
GCAAGUCGAGCGAGAAGGUUAUGAUGGAUUCUUUGGAUGAAAGAUUAACUGGAAAGCGGCGGACGGGUGAGUAACGCGUGGGUAACCUGCCCCAUACACAGGGAUAGCCAUUGGAAACGAUGAUUAAUACCUGAUGACACAUAUUUAACACAUGUUAGAUAUGUCAAAGAUUUAUCGGUAUGGGAUGGACUCGCGUCUGAUUAGCUAGUUGGUAAGGUAACGGCUUACCAAGGCGACGAUCAGUAGCCGACCUGAGAGGGUGAUC